UGUCCAGACUCCUACGGGAGGCAGCAGUGAGGAAUAUUGGUCAAUGGUCGGGAGACUGAACCAGCCAAGCCGCGUGAGGGAUGAAGGUACAGAGUAUCGUAAACCUCUUUUGUCAGGGAACAAAGGCGGGGACGUGUCCCCGGAUGAGUGUACCUGAAGAAAAAGCAUCGGCUAACUCCGUGCCAGCAGCCGCGGUAAUACGGAGGAUGCGAGCGUUAUCCGGAUUUAUUGGGUUUAAAGGGUGCGUAGGCGGAACAUUAAGUCAGCGGUAAAAUCGAGGGGCUCAACCCCUUUAAGCCGUUGAAACUGGUGAUCUUGAGUGGGCGAGAAGUAUGCGGAAUGCGUGGUGUAGCGGUGAAAUGCAUAGAUAUCACGCAGAACUCCGAUUGCGAAGGCAGCAUACCGGCGCCCGACUGACGCUGAGGCACGAAAGCGUGGGGAUCGAACAGGAUUAGAUACCCCGGUAAA
rnacentral:rRNA from 1 species